GCCCGGUUAGCUCAAUCGGUAGAGGUUAGUGAAUUUUCAUGCUACCCGUUCUUUAAUACAUGAUACUAACUGCUCAAACAGCGUGAGACUCUUAAUCUCAAGGUUGCGGGUUCGACCCCCGCAUCGGGCU